rnacentral:rRNA from 1 species
UACGAAGGGGGCUAGCGUUGCUCGGAAUGACUGGGCGUAAAGGGCGCGUAGGCGGUUGGUACAGUCAGAUGUGAAAUUCCUGGGCUCAACCUGGGGGCUGCAUUUGAUACGUGCUGUCUUGAGUUCGGAAGAGGGUCGUGGAAUUCCCAGUGUAGAGGUGAAAUUCGUAGAUAUUGGGAAGAACACCGGUGGCGAAGGCGGCGACCUGGUCCGAUACUGACGCUGAGGCGCGAAAGCGUGGGGAGCAAACAGG